GUUCUUACUUCGGAAGAACAUAUACUACAAUUGGAACAAUCCAGAGAAGAUUUAGCAUGGCCCCUGCGCAUGGAUGACACGCAAGAUCGUGAAGCCAUCGCCGUCUUC
rfam:Phlebotomus papatasi Contig19.57, whole genome shotgun sequence.